rnacentral:lncRNA from 1 species
CGCUGUCGUUUCACUCAUCCUCGCAGUCUCUCUCCUAACCAAUCCUUUCUCUCUCAUCCUCCUCGUUGGCCUCCUCGCCUCUUGGACCUUCCUCUACCUCUUCCGUCCCUCGGAUCAACCUCUCGUCAUUCUCGGCCGAACAUUCUCCGACUUCGAAACCCUAGCCCUCCUCUCCGCCUUCACCGUCUUCGUCGUUUUCCUCACCAGCGUCGGAUCUGUCCUCGUUUCGGCUCUGAUGCUCGGUGUCGCCGUCGUUUGCCUCCACGGCGCGUUCCGCGUGCCGGAGGAUCUGUUCCUCGACGAUCAGGAGAAUUCUCAGCCUACCGGAUUCCUCUCCUUCCUCCGCGGCCCUGCCUCCGCCGCUGCCGCCGCCGCCGCCGCUGUUCCCACCGUUGCCUCACGCGUUUAGGUAAAAAAAAAAUCUCAGUGAAAUCGUCAGAUCUGGUGAUGUUUCUCCCCGAUCUGAUGAGUUUUGACGCAUGGAGGAAGAAUGAAUCUUGAAAUGUAGUUUGUAUUUUGUUUUCGGUUUUUAAAAUUCCUUUAUCUGUCUAAACGAAUUUUAUUAUACGUAGGCUGAAUAAGAAUUAUGAUUACAUUUUGUAUGCAUCUUUGUUGUUUUUUAUUUU